rnacentral:ncRNA from 1 species
UUUCUCUCAAGAUAGCUGGAGUAGGUAAUGAAGCUGUUAUAUUCUGUAAAGCGAUUGAUUAGAGGAAUUAUGGGACGAAACGUUUUCAACCUGUCCUCAAAUUUUCAUUGAGUAUGACAUCUCUUUUGCUUGAAUGAAUCAUAGACAUUGAAUGUGUGCUCCA